GGCAAUGUGGCGGAGUGGUCUAACGCGAGAGCUUGCUAUUGCAGUCUGCUCUUCCCUUCGGGGGCGUGAGUUCGAAUCUCAUCGUUGUCG